rnacentral:rRNA from 1 species
UACAGAGGUCUCAAGCGUUGUUCGGAUUCAUUGGGCGUAAAGGGUGCGUAGGCGGCGCGGUAAGUCGGGUGUGAAAUCUCGGAGCUUAACUCCGAAACUGCAUUCGAUACUGCGGUGCUUGAGGACUGGAGAGGAGACUGGAAUUCAUAGUGUAGCAGUGAAAUGCGUAGAGAUCAUGAGGAAGACCAGUGGCGAAGGCGGGUCUCUGGACAGUUCCUGACACUGAGGCACGAAGGCCAGGGGAGCAAACGGG